rnacentral:rRNA from 1 species
UACGUAGGGUGCAAGCGUUGUCCGGAAUUAUUGGGCGUAAAGAGCUCGUAGGCGGUCAGUCGCGUCUGCUGUGAAAACUCGGGGCUUAACUCCGGGCCUGCAGUGGGUACGGGCUGACUAGAGUGCGGUAGGGGAGACUGGAAUUCCUGGUGUAGCGGUGAAAUGCGCAGAUAUCGAGAGGAACACCUGCGGCGAAGGCGGGUUGCUGGGCCGACACUGACGCUGAUGCGCGAAAGCCAGGGGAGCGAACGGG